rnacentral:rRNA from 1 species
CCUUGAAAUACCACCCUUUAAUGUUUGAUGUUCUAACGUUGACCCGUGAUCCGGGUUGCGGACAGUGUCUGGUGGGUAGUUUGACUGGGGCGGUCUCCUCCUAAAGAGUAACGGAGGAGCACGAAGGUUGGCUAAUCCUGGUCGGACAUCAGGAGGUUAGUGCAAUGGCAUAAGCCAGCUUGACUGCGAGCGUGACGGCGCGAGCAGGUGCGAAAGCAGGUCAUAGUGAUCCGGUGGUUCUGAAUGGAAGGGCCAUCGCUCAACGGAUAAAAGGUACUCCGGGGAUAACAGGCUGAUACCGCCCAAGAGUUCAUAUCGACGGCGGUGUUUGGCACCUCGAUGUCGGCUCAUCACAUCCUGGGGCUGAAGUAGGUCCCAAGGGUAUGGCUGUUCGCCAUUUAAAGUGGUACGCGAGCUGGGUUUAGAACGUCGUGAGACAGUUCGGUCCCUAUCUGCCGUGGGCGCUGGAGAACUGAGGGGGGCUGCUCCUAGUACGAGAGGACCGGAG